rnacentral:rRNA from 1 species
CCCCUAGAUGUUCUGGGCCGCACGCGCGCUACACUGAACAGUUCAACAAGUCUUAACCUUGGCCGAUAGGUCUGGGUAAUCUUUGAACGCUGUUCGUGAUUGGGAUAGACCUUUGCAAUUAUGGGUCUUCAACGAGGAAUUCCUAGUAAACGCAAGUCAUCAGCUUGCAUUGAUUACGUCCCUGCCCUUUGUACACACCGCCCGUCGCAUCUACCGAUUGAAUGGUCCGGUGAAAUCUCGGGACGGCGGCUUGGUCGCUUGCGUCCGACUGCUGAAACUUGAUUAAACCAUAUCAUUUAGAGGAAGGUGAANUCGUAACA